rfam:Gossypium raimondii Chr10_contig_1173, whole genome shotgun sequence.
UGUUAAAAAUGUCAUCUAUUUGUACCGGUAAAAACUGGUGUGGUUGAUAGAAUAACCAGACAGUGACAUGUAACAUGCCACAUGUGCUUUAUGCUGACGCAUAAAGGUCGAUUUUUAAUAGAAAAAAUGGAUGAAAUUGUUAAUA